AGAAUCAACGCUGGCGGCGUGCCUAACACAUGCAAGUCGCACGAGAAAGCGGGAGCAAUCCUGUGAGUAAAGUGGCGUACGGGUGAGUAACACGUGAAUCAUCUACCUUCGAGUGCGGAAUAACUGAGAGAAAUCUUAGCUAAUACCGCAUAAUACCCACGGGUCAAAGCAGCAAUGCGCUUGAAGAGGAGUUCGCGGCAGAUUAGUUAGUUGGCGGGGUAAUGGCCCACCAAGACGAUGAUCUGUAUCCGGCCUGAGAGGGCGCACGGACACACUGGAACUGAAACACGGUCCAGACUCCUACGGGAGGCAGCAGUGGGGAAUUUUGCGCAAUGGGGGAAACCCUGACGCAGCAACGCCGCGUGGAGGAUGAAAUCCCUUGGGAUGUAAACUCCUUUCGAUAGGGAAGAUAAUGACGGUACCUAUAGAAGAAGCCCGGCUAACUUCGCGCCAGCAGCCGCGGUAA
rnacentral:rRNA from 1 species